UUUACUAAACAAAAAUGCACUCCGUUGGGCGUUGGCUAAUGAGAAUUAUAGCAUCAUAAUUGGGACCAUGUUUCGGCGGUUCAGAAAACAAGAGUGUCUCGAAUCAACUGACCAUACAACAAUACACUUCAAACCGUUCCAUCACAACACCCAUUAUUUUGAACCAAUUCAAAAGGCUUUGGUGGCGCGGAACGAUCGUCAGUUUGCCGUUAGAUAUCUUGACGACCAAAAGCGUAG